CCUACGGGUGGCAGCAGUGGGGAAUAUUGGGCAAUGGGCGCAAGCCUGACCCAGCAACGCCGCGUGAAGGAAGAAGGCUUUCGGGUCGUAAACUUCUUUUCUCAGGGACGAAGAAAGUGACGGUAACUGAGGAAUAAGCCAAGGCUAACUAAGUGCCAGCAGCCGCGGUAAUACGUAGGUGGCAAGCGUUAUCCGGAUUUAUUGGGUGUAAAGGGCGUGUAGGCGGGGGCGUAAGUCAGAUGUGAAAACUUAGGGCUUAACCCGGAGCGUGCAUUUGAAACUGUGUUUCUUGAGUGCUGGAGAGGCAAUCGGAAUUCCAUGUGUAGCGGUGAAAUGCGUAGAUAUACGGAGGAACACCAGUGGCGAAGGCGGAUUGCUGGACAGUAACUGACGCUGAGGUGCGAAAGCGUGGGGAGCAAACAGGAUUAGAUACCCUUGUAGUC
rnacentral:rRNA from 1 species